CCUACGGGAGGCAGCAGUGGGGAAUAUUGGACAAUGGGCGAAAGCCUGAUCCAGCCAUGCCGCGUGUGUGAAGAAGGCCUUUUGGUUGUAAAGCACUUUAAGCGAGGAGGAGGCUACCGAGAUUAAUACUCUUGGAUAGUGGACGUUACUCGCAGAAUAAGCACCGGCUAACUCUGUGCCAGCAGCCGCGGUAAUACAGAGGGUGCGAGCGUUAAUCGGAUUUACUGGGCGUAAAGCGUGCGUAGGCGGCUUCUUAAGUCGGAUGUGAAAUCCCUGAGCUUAACUUAGGAAUUGCAUUCGAUACUGGGAAGCUAGAGUAUGGGAGAGGAUGGUAGAAUUCCAGGUGUAGCGGUGAAAUGCGUAGAGAUCUGGAGGAAUACCGAUGGCGAAGGCAGCCAUCUGGCCUAAUACUGACGCUGAGGUACGAAAGCAUGGGGAGCAAACAGGAUUAGAUACCCUGGUAGUCCAUGCCGUAAACGAUGUCUACUAGCCGUUGGGGCCUUUGAGGCUUUAGUGGCGCAGCUAACGCGAUAAGUAGACCGCCUGGGGAGUACGGUCGCAAGACUAAAACUCAAAUGAAUUGACGGGGGCCCGCACAAGCGGUGGAGCAUGUGGUUUAAUUCGAUGCAACGCGAAGAACCUUAC
rnacentral:rRNA from 1 species